rnacentral:rRNA from 1 species
CCCUGGUAGUCCACGCCGUAAACGAUGAGAACUUGACGUUGGUUUGCUUAGCAAAUCGGUGUCGUAGCUAACGCGAUAAGUUCUCCGCCUGGGGAGUACGGCCGCAAGGUUGAAACUCAAAGGAAUUGACGGGGGCCCGCACAAGCGGUGGAGCAUGUGGUUUAAUUCGAUGCAACGCGAAGAACCUUACCAGGGUUUGACAUCCUGCGAAUCUCUUGGAAACUUGAGAGUGCCUUCGGGAGCGCAGUGACAGGUGGUGCAUGGCUGUCGUCAGCUCGUG